ensembl:lncRNA
AAUUUGUCAGGUGACAGGAACCAGGAAGUCAAUGAAGAAUAUGGCUCAGAACUGCUGUUUGUAUUGGUAGCUUUUCAAUCCAGUUGAGUCUGCAUGCAUCCUAUACCUUUUUGAUAGCAUCGUUGUUUUACUCUUUCUCAUGUCAAUAAACCUGUGGACAACGGACCAUUGUCUUCAGAGUCGUGAUGUCAGAAAAGAGUUCGUCUAACUGCCAAGGUGUAUCGGAGCGCAUAUACCGAGGGCGGCAUAGUAAAACAACGCUUUCUACCGGGCAAGAUAACGCAGCCAACUGACAGAUGCUACGAACAACGUCAUCACACGCAACCAGUGGAUGACCAUCACAGCGGUGUCUAAACAGAGGUACGUCAACAGACAACGCCAUGUCCGAGAAAGCAACUUCAUUAAAGACGCGGUCCCGCGCUACAUGUUCUGCUACAUACUCAAGUGUAUCAUCGACGGGGUCUGCUGCUGCAAAAGCGAGAGCGAGAGCAGAGGCAGCAAAGGCACGCAUGUCCUACGCUAAAGAGGAAAUGACCCUGAAGAUAGAAAAAGCUAAGCUAGAAGCCUCAAUAGAAAUGCUCAAAUACAAGAAAGAGACAGCUGCAGCUGUAGCUGAGGCCGAAGUCCUUGAAGCUGCGGUAGAGGCAAAUAGUGAAAGACAAAGUUUGAUGUCAAACUUGGAAUCUGCACAACGCACAGAACAAUAUGUGAUUGACCAAGCUGAAUCACUAAACACAGACGCUCAGCUGCUUGAUGAUGGUGUUGUCGCGAAAAGAGAGCCAAGCCAAAACUACGAAACUCCAACUUCAUCUAUCAAACCUGAAGCAGACUCAUUCCAUCCGGCUCAAGCCAAUAUAUUUUCCCAUCAUACACAAAGCCACAAUGCAGCUUCUCAACCAACUCGCCUCACCUCACAGCAGCCUUACAUCUACGAAGAUGAGAAGGUCCACACGACACACAAUGUUCGGUUUGACAACCGCAAUGCUACUCCUGAGCAAGGUCUUAGACGUCAAAACGACAAAAGUCAUCCCGCUCUUAAAUCCUACCCCACAUCUUCAAACAACAAUAAUGAAAACUCCAACAUUAGCGACUUUGUAAGAUACUUUGCUCGUCGUGAGCUUGUGGCAACAGGCCUGCUUCAAUUCAACGACAGACCUCAGAACUACAGAGCCUGGAAACGUUCUUUCCAGAACGCAACCAGAGGGUUGGACCUGACACCAAGUGAGGAAAUGGAUCUCCUGUUUAAAUGGCUCGGCAAAGAGUCAUCAGAACAUGUCGAGCACAUAAGAGCAAUACACAUCAACCAUCCAGCGGCAGGCUUGGCCAUGAUAUGGGACAGACUAGAACAAUCUUAUGGUUCUGCCGAAGUAAUAGAAGAUGCUCUGUUCAAACGUAUGACGCCUUCCCAAAAUUAACAAAUCGAGA